GGCCAGAUAGCACAAGUGGUAGUGCACCAGAGACAGGUGUCUGAAACCGCAAGUCGUUCAUCUGGGGGUCCUUGUUCGAUUCGAGGUCAGGCCG